CACGUAGUUAGCCGGCGCUUCUUUACCCACUACCCUCACCACAACCAAUGUCGCGGCUUGACCAUGAGCGAAAGAGGUUUACAACCCGAAGGCCGUCAUCCCUCACGCGGCGUCGCUGCAUCAGGCUUUCGCCCAUUGUGCAAUAUUCCCCACUGCUGCCUCCCGUAGGAGUCUGGGCCGUAUCUCAGUCCCAAUGUGACCGGUCACCCUCUCAGGCCGGCUACCCGUCAAAGCCUUGGUAGGCCAUCACCCCACCAACAAGCUGAUAGGCCGCGAGCCCAUCCCCCACCAGAAAAAACCUUUCCACCAACCCCCAUGCGAAGGCCAGUGAAUAUCCAGUAUUAGCACCCGUUUCCGGGCGUUAUCCCAAAGAAGGGGCAGGUUACUCACGUGUUACUCACCCGUUCGCCACUCAUCCACCCAGCAAGCUGGGCUUCAGCGUUCGACUUGCAUGUGUUAAGCACGCCGCCAGCGUUCGUCCUGAGCCAGGAUCAAACUCU
rnacentral:rRNA from 1 species